CAUAUUUGACAUGGUAAUAGUUGCUUUAAUGGUUUGAUCCAUCUUGAACUUUGAACUGGUUGGACAUGUUUCAGCUUGGUCUUCAGGUGAAAUAACUGGUGUAGUGGCAGAAAUUUCGCGAAGCAGCUCAGAUGGCCAAAAUGGAAGCUGAAAAUUUUGUAAACCUUCUGCGCACAAAAGAACUUGAGUUGGAUGCUUGUCGGAAGGAGGUUGAGAUGCUUAAGCUGGAGAUUGGUCAUCUCAAUAAUAGAAUCACAGAGGAUCACAGCUAUUGGUGGUAUUGUUGACAUAUCAAUUUUUAGAAGGUUCCCAUCUGUAUCUUUUGGACUUUCAAGCACUCCAGGUUCAUCUAAUGUGUCCAGCUGUUCUCCGACUGGCUUUGCUCGCCACUCCUCCGGCGCUGCUGCCUUUUAUCCUCCUCUACAUUGAAAGAGUGUUGAAGAGGCAGAAUGUCGUAGGGCAUAUAAUUCUGCUACUGAGGCAUACACUUCAUCUUUUGACCGCACGAAGCCAGUAGAGGAGGAUGUUCUUAGAGAAGCACACGAAGUUGCGGUUCAAAAUGCUCACUGAAGUCAUUCACUGAAACUUUUAUGGCAAAGAUGAAAUCAUAUCC